rnacentral:rRNA from 1 species
GAUGAACGCUGGCGGCGUGCCUAAUACAUGCAAGUCGAGCGAACGGACGAGAAGCUUGCUUCUCUGAUGUUAGCGGCGGACGGGUGAGUAACACGUGGAUAACCUACCUAUAAGACUGGGAUAACUUCGGGAAACCGGAGCUAAUACCGGAUAAUAUUUUGAACCGCAUGGUUCAAAAGUGAAAGACGGUCUUGCUGUCACUUAUAGAUGGAUCCGCGCUGCAUUAGCUAGUUGGUAAGGUAACGGCUUACCAAGGCAACGAUGCAUAGCCGACCUGAGAGGGUGAUCGGCCACACUGGAACUGAGACACGGUCCAGACUCCUACGGGAGGCAGCAGUAGGGAAUCUUCCGCAAUGGGCGAAAGCCUGACGGAGCAACGCCGCGUGAGUGAUGAAGGUCUUCGGAUCGUAAAACUCUGUUAUUAGGGAAGAACAUAUGUGUAAGUAACUGUGCACAUCUUGACGGUACCUAAUCAGAAAGCCACGGCUAACUACGUGCCAGCAGCCGCGGUAAUACGUAGGUGGCAAGCGUUAUCCGGAAUUAUUGGGCGUAAAGCGCGCGUAGGCGGUUUUUUAAGUCUGAUGUGAAAGCCCACGGCUCAACCGUGGAGGGUCAUUGGAAACUGGAAAACUUGAGUGCAGAAGAGGAAAGUGGAAUUCCAUGUGUAGCGGUGAAAUGCGCAGAGAUAUGGAGGAACACCAGUGGCGAAGGCGACUUUCUGGUCUGUAACUGACGCUGAUGUGCGAAAGCGUGGGGAUCAAACAGGAUUAGAUACCCUGGUAGUCCACGCCGUAAACGAUGAGUGCUAAGUGUUAGGGGGUUUCCGCCCCUUAGUGCUGCAGCUAACGCAUUAAGCACUCCGCCUGGGGAGUACGACCGCAAGGUUGAAACUCAAAGGAAUUGACGGGGACCCGCACAAGCGGUGGAGCAUGUGGUUUAAUUCGAAGCAACGCGAAGAACCUUACCAAAUCUUGACAUCCUUUGACAACUCUAGAGAUAGAGCCUUCCCCUUCGGGGGACAGAGUGACAGGUGGUGCAUGGUUGUCGUCAGCUCGUGUCGUGAGAUGUUGGGUUGAGUCCCGCAACGAGCGCAACCCUUAAGCUUAGUUGCCAUCAUUAAGUUGGGCACUCUAAGUUGACUGCCGGUGACAAACCGGAGGAAGGUGGGGAUGACGUCAAAUCAUCAUGCCCCUUAUGAUUUGGGCUACACACGUGCUACAAUGGACAAUACAAAGGGCAGCGAAACCGCGAGGUCAAGCAAAUCCCAUAAAGUUGUUCUCAGUUCGGAUUGUAGUCUGCAACUCGACUACAUGAAGCUGGAAUCGCUAGUAAUCGUAGAUCAGCAUGCUACGGUGAAUACGUUCCCGGGUCU